UGGUACACGUUCGGUGGAGGAACCAGACUGGAUGUUGGAAGUGAUGUCCGUCCCACCCUGACGGUGCUGCCCCCCUCCAGCCAGGAGCUGCAGCAGGGGAAGGCCACGCUCACGUGUCUGGCCAACAAGGGCUUCCCCUCAGACUGGAGUCUGGCCUGGAAGGUGGACGGCAGCAGCAGCAGCAGCAGCAGCUGGGAGCAGAGCAGGAGCCCCGGGGUGCUGCAGCAGGACGGCCACUACAGCUGGAGCAGCACCCUGAGGCUCACUGCAGACCAGUGGAGGAAGGUGGGCUCUGUGACCUGUGAGGCCACCCAGGGCUCCCAGACUCCACUCUCAGAGACACUGAGGAGAGACCAGUGUUCCCAGUCCUGACCUGACCCACUGGGACUCUGCUACUGGGUUAACUCUGCUACUGCUCUCAC